UGAAAUAACUCAUAAGUAGGCAUAGCUGAUAUAGAAAUCAUAAAAGGGUGAUCUAGUGUGAGAGGUUCCCAACAGGUGGGUUACUGGUAGCGAAGAUAUGAGCUUAAUCCAACAGUGUUGAUUUGGUGCAUGAAGCAAUUACCUUCUUUUACGAUUGCUGUGAAUCUAGAUUUUAAACGGAACACUCCUGAAUUCCAAGUUAGAAUAAUUUAUUGACAAAUGUUUUUUAUGAUAUUAUAUAAUAUGUAUAAUUAAAUACCAUGUUUUGAUAAUGCUACUUGUUUGUACAGGAAUUGAGUGAAAAAAAUAUAAAGAGAGCGUCAAACCCCCAAUACCCAUUCCGCAGGGGCGUAUGGGAAUGCAAGCUUAACACAAAAAUACUACCAGAGACUAAAUCUAAAGAAAAAGACAUUGAUAAAUGUUUAAGGUGGAGGGAAGGGCGUGUGAAGAAGGAUGAAAUGGUUGAUGAGAGCGUCCAGAAAGUAUAUGAAGAAUGUGUGACUCUAUCUCAAUCUUCUCAAACUUCUAGUUGUAGGGACAUACUUAGCAAAACAUUACAUGUCGGUGAAUAUUCUGGUCGUGCAAGGGUACAUUGAUGGUUUCAAGUGUUUGACAUACCCAAAAGAUAAACUAAUAGAAAUCCAAGAAGAAUGGUGUCGGUUCAUGAUCAACCUAAAAGUUAUAUGAUUUUUUUUAUAAUAAGGUAAGUUUCAUGUUUCAAAAUAUAUUUGCUAGAAGUGGUAGUGGUUUUAAUUUGUACUCAUGAUCAGUAGUACUUUGAAUUUGUCUCUAAUAUAAUAUAGCGUUAUUUCUUAAUGGUAUUUUCUGGUAUAUAUUCAGG